GACGUAGGGCGCGAGCGUUGUCCGGAUUUAUUGGGCGUAAAGAGCUCGUAGGCGGCUUGUUGCGUCGACCGUGAAAACCCGGGGCUCAACUUCGGGCUUGCGGUCGAUACGGGCGGGCUAGAGUUCGGUAGGGGAGACUGGAAUUCCUGGUGUAGCGGUGAAAUGCGCAGAUAUCAGGAGGAACACCGGUGGCGAAGGCGGGUCUCUGGGCCGAAACUGACGCUGAGGAGCGAAAGCGUGGGGAGCAAACAGG
rnacentral:rRNA from 1 species